UCUCCUCCGCCGCUCCUUUCCACUGGCCGCUCCGCCCUCCGCCACCUCCAAUUGCAGAUCUAGGUUUUCAAAAUUUUGUUUUUUGUUUUCUAAAUUUAUUUUUUGGCAAAUUGUAUGCAGAGAUGAAGCAAAUUUUCGUGGACUAGAGUUUCUGAUCUUGUAUUUAACGAAACAACCCUUGGCUGUCUGAGCAUACAAUUUUUCCAUAGUUUUGUUGAAAUCUCUCUCUAAUUUUGCUAAUUAUCUCGAUUUGUGUGUGGUGAUGAUGCAAUUUUUCGUGGACUAGAGUUUCUGAUCUCGCAUUUGACGAAACAACCCUUGGCUGUCUGAGCACACUCUUCAAUUUUUCCUUCGAUUUCGUUUUGGAUCUCAAUUUCUCAUUCAAUUUGGCUUGUGAUGAAAAAAUAAUUAUCUUAGCGGAUUUCAGUGAGGUUGUGAUUUUUAUCGUAAUCAAUGAUCUGAUUGUUACACACACUGAAGCCUUGUUGAAAUCAAUUCCUUUUUUAUUCAGUUUUUGCGAUGAUGAGAUUAAACACAAGUUCUGUGUUUGGGGCAGUGGAUUCCGAUCCGUGAGCCUUCUAAAUCAACGACUUCUCCUUCCACUGAGCAAAAAUUUUCUUCAAAAUCGUCGAUUUCUAGCGUCCAUUACCAAUACCGGUUGAUUAAUUUGUUCUUCUUGGUUUAAUGGCACGGACGCAACAUUCAAUUUGUGGCUAUCCUGAUUGGCGUUGCAUUGAUUGGAUUGGAUUCCAAUCGAUGUGUCACGGGAAGCAUAGAUCGAUUUCGUAGCUUUAAUGUCACCAUUGAUGAAUUAACGCAGGUUUUGGAUUCAUCUUAGCUUGCUUCUCCGGUGGCUUUGCUUCAACACUUGUUUUUCCCCAAAUUUGAUUCAUUUUAG